CCCAACCCAGACCUGCUUUGCUCUGUGCAUGGCCUCGCUGCCAAGAACCAUGGCUGGGGAAGGGAGUGAAAUAUCUCAGAAGGGUGCAGAGUCUGGCAGCCUAGACCCCUUGAUCCCAAAUUCAGCCGUCUACCCACCUUGCAGACAGUGGUGACCGAGGAUUUUAGCCACUUGCCCCCAGAGCAGCAGCGAAAGCGGCUUCAACAGCAGUUGGAAGAACGCAGUCGUGAACUUCAGAAGGAGGUUGACCAGAGGGAAGCCCUAAAGAAAAUGAAGGAUGUCUAUGAGAAGACACCCCAGAUGGGGGACCCCGCCAGCUUGGAGCCCCAGAUCACUGAAACCCUGAGCAACAUUGAACGGCUGAAAUUGGAAGUACAGAAGUAUGAGGCGUGGCUGGCAGAAGCUGAAAGUCGAGUCCUUAGCAACCGGGGAGACAGCCUGAGCCGGCACGCCCGGCCUCCCGCCCCCC
rnacentral:sRNA from 1 species